GCUGAAUCCCUGGCACUGCAGGUGUCAGAGCAAGAGUGUUCCAAGCAGGGAGGCGGGGAAGCUUCCAGAGGCAAGGGAGGUGGAACCUGAAGGGGUGAAGAGCAUGGAUGGAAGGGAAGAAGGGAGGGCAGGCAGGGGAGCUGUGGGAGCAAAGACAGGGUGGUAGCACACUAGUGCAUUCACUUGUUCAAUAGUAUUUAUUGAGCACUUACUGUGUGCAGCAGCGAUCAAGGCAGACCCUGUUCCUGCUGUCAGGGAGAGAGAGGCAGACAACAAGCAAAUGACCAGGUUUGAUAAUAUCUGCAGUGAAAUGUGCUCUGAAGAGAAACGGUGCAAGGUAAAGGGGCAAUACAGGUGUGAUGCAGGAGCUCAGACACAGGACUGGGCUCCCUAGGCCGCCUCUGAUGGAAACUCCAAGAUUCUAUGACUUCCCUGAGA
rnacentral:lncRNA from 10 species